rnacentral:rRNA from 1 species
AGUGAACGCUGGCGGUAGGCCUAACACAUGCAAGUCGAACGGCAGCACAGUAAGAGCUUGCUCUUACGGGUGGCGAGUGGUGGACGGGUGAGGAAUACAUCGGAAUCUACUUUUUCGUGGGGGAUAACGUAGGGAAACUUACGCUAAUACCGCAUACGACCUACGGGUGAGAGCAGGGGAUCUUCGGACCUUGCGCGAUUGAAUGAGCCGAUGUCGGAUUAGCUAGUUGGCGGGGUAAAGGCCCACCAAGGCGACGAUCCGUAGCUGGUCUGAGAGGAUGAUCAGCCACACUGGAACUGAGACACGGUCCAGACUCCUACGGGAGGCAGCAGUGGGGAAUAUUGGACAAUGGGCGCAAGCCUGAUCCAGCCAUACCGCGUGGGUGAAGAAGGCCUUCGGGUUGUAAAGCCCUUUUGUUGGGAAAGAAAAGCAGCAGGUUAAUACCCCGCUGUUCUGACGGUACCCAAAGAAUAAGCACCGGCUAACUUCGUG